GAUGAACGCUAGCGGCAGGCCUAACACAUGCAAGUCGAGGGGUAGCAGGAUUAAGCUUGCUUAAUUGCUGACGACCGGCGCACGGGUGCGUAACGCGUAUGCAACCUACCUUAUACUGGGGUAUAGCCCGGAGAAAUUCGGAUUAAUCCCCCAUAGUACUAAUGAAUCGCAUGGUUUAUUAGUUAAAGCAUUGCGGUAUAAGACGGGCAUGCGUCCUAUUAGCUAGAUGGUGAGGUAACGGCUCACCAUGGCUACGUUAGGUAGGGGGCCUGAGAGGGUGGUCCCCCACACUGGUACUGAGACACGGACCAGACUCCUACGGGAGGCAGCAGUGAGGAAUAUUGGUCAAUGGGCGCAAGCCUGAACCAGCCAUGCCGCGUGCAGGAAGAAUGCCCUAUGGGUUGUAAACUGCUUUUAUUUGGGAAUAAACCUCUUUACGUGUAGAGAGCUGAAGGUACCAAAUGAAUAAGCACCGGCUAACUCCGUGCCAGCCGCCGCGGUAA
rnacentral:rRNA from 1 species